CCUACGGGGGGCAGCAGUAGGGAAUAUUGCUCAAUGGGGGAAACCCUGAAGCAGCAACGCCGCGUGGAGGAUGACACUUUUCGGAGCGUAAACUCCUUUUGUUAGGGAAGAAUAAUGACGGUACCUAACGAAUAAGCACCGGCUAACUCCGUGCCAGCAGCCGCGGUAAUACGGAGGGUGCAAGCGGUACUCGGAAUCACUGGGCGGAAAGGACGCGUAGGCGGAUUAUCAAGUCUCUUGUGAAAUCCUAUGGCUUAACCAUAGAACUGCUUGGGAAACUGAUAAUCUAGAGUGAGGGAGAGGCAGAUGGAAUUGGUGGUGUAGGGGUAAAAUCCGUAGAGAUCACCAGGAAUACCCAUUGCGAAGGCGAUCUGCUGGAACUCAACUGACGCUAAGGCGUGAAAGCGUGGGGAGCAAACAGGAUUAGAUACCCUGGUAGUC
rnacentral:rRNA from 1 species